GACGAACGCUGGCGGCACGCUUAACACAUGCAAGUCGAACGAAGCACCUUACCGGAUUCUUCGGAUGAAGGUCUGGUGACUGAGUGGCGGACGGGUGAGUAACACGUGAGCAAUCUGCCUUUCAGAGGGGGAUACCGAUUGGAAACGAUCGUUAAUACCGCAUAAUAUAAUUGAACCGCAUGAUUUGAUUAUCAAAGAUUUAUCGCUGAAAGAUGAGCUCGCGUCUGAUUAGCUAGUUGGUGAGGUAACGGCUUACCAAGGCGACGAUCAGUAGCCGGACUGAGAGGUUGAUCGGCCACAUUGGGACUGAGACACGGCCCAGACUCCUACGGGAGGCAGCAGUGGGGAAUAUUGCACAAUGGAGGAAACUCUGAUGCAGCGAUGCCGCGUGAGGGAAGAAGGUUUUAGGAUUGUAAACCUCUGUCUUCAGGGACGAAAAAAGACGGUACCUGAGGAGGAAGCUCCGGCUAACUACGUGCCAGCAGCCGCGGUAAUACGUAGGGAGCGAGCGUUGUCCGGAAUUACUGGGUGUAAAGGGAGCGUAGGCGGGAUAUCAAGUCAGAAGUGAAAAUUAUGGGCUUAACCCAUAAACUGCAUUUGAAACUGUGGUUCUUGAGUGAAGUAGAGGUAAGCGGAAUUCCUAGUGUAGCGGUGAAAUGCGUAGAUAUUAGGAGGAACAUCAGUGGCGAAGGCGGCUUACUGGGCUUUAACUGACGCUGAGGCUCGAAAGCGUGGGGAGCAAACAGGAUUAGAUACCCUGGUAGUCCACGCCGUAAACGAUGAUUACUAGGUGUGGGGGGACUGACCCCUUCCGUGCCGCAGCAAACGCAAUAAGUAAUCCACCUGGGGAGUACGACCGCAAGGUUGAAACUCAAAGGAAUUGACGGGGGCCCGCACAAGCAGUGGAGUAUGUGGAUUAAUUCGACGCAACGCGAAGAACCUUACCAGGUCUUGACAUCGUAUGCAUAGCUCAGAGAUGAGUGAAAUCUCUUCGGAGACAUAUAGACAGGUGGUGCAUGGUUGUCGUCAGCUCGUGUCGUGAGAUGUUGGGUUAAGUCCCGCAACGAGCGCAACCCUUACUGUUAGUUGCUACGCAAGAGCACUCUAGCAGGACUGCCGUUGACAAAACGGAGGAAGGUGGGGAUGACGUCAAAUCAUCAUGCCCCUUAUGACCUGGGCCUCACACGUACUACAAUGGCUGUAAACAGAGGGAUGCAAAGCCGCGAGGUGGAGCGAACCCCUAAAAGCAGUCUUAGUUCGGAUUGUAGGCUGCAACCCGCCUACAUGAAGUCGGAAUUGCUAGUAAUCGCAGAUCAGCAUGCUGCGGUGAAUACGUUCCCGGGCCU
rnacentral:rRNA from 1 species